rnacentral:rRNA from 1 species
CCUACGGGUGGCAGCAGUGGGGAAUAUUGCACAAUGGGGGAAACCCUGAUGCAGCGACGCCGCGUGAGUGAAGAAGUAAUUCGUUAUGUAAAGCUCUAUCAGCAGGGAAGAAAAGGACGGUACCUGAGUAAGAAGCCCCGGCUAACGACGUGCCAGCAGCCGCGGGAAGACGUAGGGGGCAAGCGUUAUCCGGAUUUACUGGGUGUACCGGGAGCGUAGACGGCAGUGCAAGUCGGGAGUGAAAGGCGGGGGCUCAACCCCCGGACUGCUCUGGAAACGGUACGGCUGGAGUGCAGGAGAGGUAAGUGGACUUCCUCGUGUAGCGUUGCACUGCGUAGAUAUUAGGAGUACCCCCAGUGGCGCAGGCGGCUUACUGGACUGUACCUGCCGUUGCGGCUCG